rnacentral:rRNA from 1 species
AUUGAACGCUGGCGGCAGGCCUAACACAUGCAAGUCGAGCGAGCGGCGGACGGGUGAGUAAUGUCUGGGAAACUGCCUGAUGGAGGGGGAUAACUACUGGAAACGGUAGCUAAUACCGCAUACCAUCAGAUGUGCCCAGAUGGGAUUAGCUAGUAGGUGGGGUAACGGCUCACCUAGGCGACGAUCCCUAGCUGGUCUGAGAGGAUGACCAGACACAAUGGACUGGGUAAACGGGCCAGCCUCCUACGGGGGGCAGGAGGGGGGAAUAUUGCACAAGGGGCGAAAGCCUUGUGCCGCCAUGCCGCGGGGGUGAAAAAGGCCUUCGGGUUGAAAAUCACUUUCAGCGGGGGGGCGUUACCCGCAGAAGAAGCCCCGGAUAACCCCGUGCCAGCCGCCGCGGUAAUUU